UACGGGGGGGGCAAGCGUUGUUCGGAAUUACUGGGCGUAAAGGGCGCGUAGGCGGCCAUCUAAGUCAGACGUGAAAUCCCUCGGCUCAACCGAGGAACUGCGUCUGAUACUGGAAGGCUUGAAUCCGGGAGAGGGAUGUGGAAUUCCAGGUGUAGCGGUGAAAUGCGUAGAUAUCUGGGGGAACACCGGUGGCGAAGGCGGCAUCCUGGACCGGUAUUGACGCUGAGGCGCGAAAGCUAGGGGAGCAAACGGG
rnacentral:rRNA from 1 species